rnacentral:rRNA from 1 species
UUUAUGGAGAGUUUGAUCCUGGCUCAGGAUGAACGCUGGCGGCGUGCCUAAUACAUGCAAGUCGAGCGAACAGACGAGGAGCUUGCUCCUCUGACGUUAGCGGCGGACGGGUGAGUAACACGUGGACAACCUACCUAUAAGACUGGGAUAACUUCGGGAAACCGGAGCUAAUACCGGAUAAUAUAUUGAACCGCAUGGUUCAAUAGUGAAAGACGGUUUUGCUGUCACUUAUAGAUGGAUCCGCGCCG